CGGAGUAUGACGCUAACCUGGGGAAGGGAUGGAAAAGGAUGCUGUUGCAGAGGAGAUGAAUGAAAUCAAUGGAGUGACCUGGUGGAACAAGGCAGGCAAAGGUCCUCAGAGAGCAAAACGGAACUGUGUAUGUUGAGGACAUGGAAAAGAGGUGCUACGUGAAGAGGUCUUGGGGUUUUUCCAGGACUACUAUGGUGAACAAUGCAUAUCAAAGGCUUGAACGUUGCAGCAGUUAACACAGAUAAAAUAGAAAACAAGUACUGCAGAACCUACGCUCUCUGGUAACGUAUACUGCUAAACAUUCUUUUCAUGCCAAGAGGAGCCCCGCUUUCAGGUUGCAUUUGUUGCAAGGAACAGGCUGGAGGAAGGUGAUGGCUGGAGAAGAGCUGAGCUGACAGACCUGUGACCACACGAACCCAAAAGGGGCAGCCUGCAGCUGCACCGCCCAGCACCCAGAGGCUGAGACCGUGAUGAUAGGAAUACACUCAAAGAAAGCAAAGGAGCAGCAGAGGACCCGCAGCAGCCGGGCCGGGGCCGUGCUCGGUAUGCGGGCUCUCUCUGGUGGUUGCAGGCAGCAGCGCACAGUGCUCACCGCACAGCGCAGAGCGUACAGCACGCGUUGCACACACAGCACCUGGUGCGCAGCGCAUAGCACACACUGCACAGCACGCGUUGCUCAGCACAGAGGAUACAGCGCACCACGCAUGGAGCGGAGCACAAAGUACACAGCACAGAACACACGGCGCACAGCACCAGGUGUAUACAGCACGCACUGCACAGAACACAACG
ensembl:lncRNA